GCCUCCUGGGGUGGCCUGACCAGUGCAUAUGCCGUAGCGGCGCGCGGCCUCCGGAGCCGUGUGCGCAGGUUCGAAUCCUGCCGGGGGCACCA
rnacentral:tRNA from 1 species